AAAUUGAAGAGUUUGAUCAUGGCUCAGAUUGAACGCUGGCGGCAGGCCUAACACAUGCAAGUCGAGCGGUAGCACAGAGAGCUUGCUCUCGGGUGACGAGCGGCGGACGGGUGAGUAAUGUCUGGGAAACUGCCUGAUGGAGGGGAUAACUACUGGAAACGGUAGCUAAUACCGCAUAACGUCGCAAGACCAAAGUGGGGACCUUCGGGCCUCAUGCCAUCAGAUGUGCCCAGAUGGGAUUAGCUAGUAGGUGGGGUAACGGCUCACCUAGGCGACGAUCCCUAGCUGGUCUGAGAGGAUGACCAGCCACACUGGAACUGAGACACGGUCCAGACUCCUACGGGAGGCAGCAGUGGGGAAUAUUGCACAAUGGGCGCAAGCCUGAUGCAGCCAUGCCGCGUGUGUGAAGAAGGCCUUCGGGUUGUAAAGCACUUUCAGCGGGGAGGAAGGCGGUGAGGUUAAUAACCUCAUCGAUUGACGUUACCCGCAGAAGAAGCACCGGCUAACUCCGUGCCAGCAGCCGCGGUAAUACGGAGGGUGCAAGCGUUAAUCGGAAUUACUGGGCGUAAAGCGCACGCAGGCGGUCUGUCAAGUCGGAUGUGAAAUCCCCGGGCUUAACCUGGGAACUGCAUUCGAAACUGGCAGGCUAGAGUCUUGUAGAGGGGGUAGAAUUCCAGGUGUAGCGGUGAAAUGCGUAGAGAUCUGGAGGAAUACCGGUGGCGAAGGCGGCCCCUGGACAAAGACUGACGCUCAGGUGCGAAAGCGUGGGGAGCAAACAGGAUUAGAUACCCUGGUAGUCCACGCCGUAAACGAUGUCGAUUUGGAGGUUGUGCCCUUGAGGCGUGGCUUCCGGAGCUAACGCGUUAAAUCGACCGCCUGGGGAGUACGGCCGCAAGGUUAAAACUCAAAUGAAUUGACGGGGCCCGCACAAGCGGUGGAGCAUGUGGUUUAAUUCGAUGCAACGCGAAGAACCUUACCUGGUCUUGACAUCCACAGAACUUUCCAGAGAUGGAUUGGUGCCUUCGGGAACUGUGAGACAGGUGCUGCAUGGCUGUCGUCAGCUCGUGUUGUGAAAUGUUGGGUUAAGUCCCGCAACGAGCGCAACCCUUAUCCUUUGUUGCCAGCGGUCCGGCCGGGAACUCAAAGGAGACUGCCAGUGAUAAACUGGAGGAAGGUGGGGAUGACGUCAAGUCAUCAUGGCCCUUACGACCAGGGCUACACACGUGCUACAAUGGCAUAUACAAAGAGAAGCGACCUCGCGAGAGCAAGCGGACCUCAUAAAGUAUGUCGUAGUCCGGAUUGGAGUCUGCAACUCGACUCCAUGAAGUCGGAAUCGCUAGUAAUCGUAGAUCAGAAUGCUACGGUGAAUACGUUCCCGGGCCUUGUACACACCGCCCGUCACACCAUGGGAGUGGGUUGCAAAAGAAGUAGGUAGCUUAACCUUCGGGAGGGCGCUUACCACUUUGUGAUUCAUGACUGGGGUGAAGUCGUAACAAGGUAACCGUAGGGGAACCUGCGGUUGGAUCACCUCCUUA
rnacentral:rRNA from 1 species